rnacentral:rRNA from 1 species
UACGGAGGGGGCAAGCGUUGUUCGGAUUUACUGGGCGUAAAGGGUGUGUAGGCGGUUAUGUAAGUCUGGUGUGAAAUCCCUCGGCUUAACCGGGGAACUGCGUCUGAUACUGGAUGGCUUGAGUUCGGGAGAGGGAUGCGGAAUUCCAGGUGUAGCGGUGAAAUGCGUAGAUAUCUGGAGGAACACCGGUGGCGAAGGCGGCAUCCUGGACCGAUACUGACGCUGAGGAGCGAAAGCCAGGGGAGCAAACGGG